AAAUCAGGUAGGAGUACCCGCUGAACUUAAGCAUAUCAAUAAGCGGAGGAAAAGAAACCAACCGGAUUGCCUUAGUAACGGCGAGUGAAGCGGCAAAAGCUCAAAUUUGAAAUCUGGUACCUUCGGUGCCCGAGUUGUAAUUUGGAGAGGGCAACUUUGGGGCCGUUCCUUGUCUAUGUUCCUUGGAACAGGACGUCAUAGAGGGUGAGCAUCCCGUGUGGCGAGGAGUGCGGUUCUAUGUAAAGUGCCUUCGAAGAGUCGAGUUGUUUGGGAAUGCAGCUCUAAGUGGGUGGUAAAUUCCAUCUAAAGCUAAAUAUUGGCGAGAGACCGAUAGCGAACAAGUACAGUGAUGGAAAGAUGAAAAGAACUUUGAAAAGAGAGUGAAAAAGUACGUGAAAUUGUUGAAAGGGAAGGGCAUUUGAUCAGACAUGGUGUUUUGUGCCCUCUGCUCCUUGUGGGUAGGGGAAUCUCGCAUUUCACUGGGCCAGCAUCAGUUUUGGUGGCAGGAUAAAUCCGUAGGAAUGUAACUUGCUUCGGGAAGUAUUAUAGCCUGCGGGAAUACUGCCAG
rnacentral:rRNA from 1 species